AGCCAUAAAACUCGUGACAUACAAGUAAAACCGAACCAUACCUGGGUAAAUUCGGAUGCGAUUUUACAGGCGCGGAUCACGACUUCUUUUUCGAAAUUAUCCGGCAAAAAGACGUCUUGUAUCAAGCCACAAUCUUUAGCCUGCGUGGCCGUGAGACGUCGCCCUUCACAGAACAGCAAGUUUUCCUGCAAUUUGAGAAAUAAACGAUUAUAAACAA